rnacentral:rRNA from 1 species
CCCGGGCCUUGUACACACCGCCCGUCACACCACGAAAGCUGCUUGAACCAGAAGUCCGCGACCCAACCGCAAGAGGGAACGGCCCAAGGUUUGAGUGGUGAUUGGGGUG